AUACAGAGUAAAGUGUUACAGCUACAGGGAAGUGCAUUGCAGGUAGCCAAUAAGGUGCAGGGUCAUAACAAGGUAGAUUGUGAGGUCAAGAGUCCAUCUCAUUGUAUAAGGGAAUUGUUCAAUAGUCUUAUCAUAGUGGGAUAGAAGCUGUCCUUGAGCUGGGUGGUGUGUGCCCUCAGGCUCCUGUAUCUUCUGCCUGAUGGGAGAGGGGAGAAGAGAGAAUGACCUGGGAUUACGCUGGAGGUAUAGACAGAAUCCAUGGAGGGGAAGCUGGUUUCCGUGAUGCGCUGGGCUGUGUCCACAACUCUCUGCAGUUUCUUGCGGUCCUGGGCAGAGCAGUUGCUGAAGGCUUUUGUUGAGAACUACCCCCAGUUCAAGAAGAUGUCGGGCACGGUGUCCAAGCACGUGAUGGUGGUGGGUGAGCUCUCGCGGCUGGUGGGGGAGCAGAACCUGAUGGCUGUGUAGGAGGUGGAGCAGGAGCUGGCCUGCCAGAACCACCACUCCAAGGCCCUGCAGUUGCCUGGUUCUGACCAACAAAAAUAGUCUGAUCACUUCCCCUUGAUACUCAAUGACGUCAACAUUGCCAGUCCACUAUCUCCAACACCUUGAAGGCCAAGACUUCAUAGAACCUCAGCUGGACCAAGCACAAGAUAAAUAUGGCUGCAAGAAGAUAGCAGAGGCUGCCUGUUCAUUGGCAGAAGAUACAGGAGCCUGAGGGCACGUACCACCAGGCUCAAGGACAGCUUCUAUCCCACUGUGAUAAGACUAUUGAACGGCUCCCUUAUACAAUGAGAUGGACUCUUGACCUCACAAUCUACCUUGUUAUGACCUUGCACCUUAUUGGCUACCUGCAAUGCACUUCCCCGUAGCUGUAACACGUUACUUUGUAUUUUGUUAUUGUUUUUACCCUGUACUACCUCAAUGCACUGUGAAAUGAAUUGAUCUGUACAAACGGUAUGCAAGACAAGUUUUUCACUGUACCUCGGUACAAGUGACAAUAAUAAACCAAUACCAAUA